AUCAGUAGCCGACCUGAGAGGGUGAUCGGCCACAUUGGAACUGAGACACGGUCCAAACUCCUACGGGAGGCAGCAGUGGGGAAUAUUGCACAAGGGGCGAAAGCCUGAUGCAGCAACGCCGCGUGAGGGAUGAAGGCUUUCGGGUCGUAAAACUCUGUCCUCAAGGAAGAUAAUGACGGUACUUGAGGAGGAAGCCCCGGCUAACUACGUGCCAGCAGCCG
rnacentral:rRNA from 1 species